CUUAACCAACUUUGUUUACGGAAACCGUUCCCAUCCCGAACACGGAAGUUAAGCUCUUUUGCGCCGAUGGUAGUUGGGGGUUUCCCCCUGUGAGAGUAGGACGUCGCUGGGC
rnacentral:rRNA from 1 species